AAAUGUGUGAGCAACAAUUCAUUUAUAGUUUGUGUUUUCUGUACUUCAUCUUGCUUUGUGCAAUUUCAUCUUGAAGUUUGUUUUGUCAUUUGAGCAGUUCUUGCUGUCUUACGAUAGGAUUGACUUGAGUGAUCUUUCCUUUCAUAUAAAAUGUGUUGCUUUAUGUAGCGGAUGGCAUUGGGCUGUCCUCAGAAAUAUGUAUAUUCGUAUGUUUACGGUUUAAUUUUGCCAUGUGUAUGUCAAGUGUAAGCAGCAUUCGUCUGAUUGUUCGGUAAAAUCACUCGUUAUUAUGCGAGUGAAACUACCGAACAAUCAGACCACCCCAGGAAUAAGUGUGUCUCCAAUUACCGUUCGCAACAAUGUUGCAAACGGGUAAUUGGCAAUUCGUGCAGUGUGUACUUUGUCCUCUGGGUGGCCGCCAUUCGGGAGACGAACAUAUGGCGGCGGCCAUCUUAAACUCCCCGAACGCUGAGACCUCCACACUGCUGCAAAUUCAUGUAAGAACUACCGAAUGGCCCCCCCCGUUCGGUAGAAAGAACCCCACGAACAAGGGGAUUUACCUGAAUCCUCCCUAGUUCUCAUAACCCAAGCCAUUUGUGUGUUUCAUUCCCUUUUCUGUGACCGACCGCAGGGCCAAAAUGUAUGGAACCCUUUUCAGCUGUUAACUCCAGCGUGGUCGGUCUUUUUAGUACCUCCAGGAAUUUCCCGAACCCCUGGUCCGAUCUGGGUGAUUUUUAGAUGUGUCUCACCCAGAUCAGGGCUACUAGGGGAUGUAAUAUUUAAAGGGGUACCGCUAUGUUUAGGGGUACAUCCAGAAAACAAGGGGAACGGUGUCCUGCAUAAUGGGAUUAUGUGUCAUACUAAGGGGAGGGGAUGUGUGGGUGGCAACUCGUGUAUGAUUGGUGUAUUGUGUAAUUACUGUAAAUCCCUCCCUUGCAUGUGAGAAAGCUUUAAAAGAAGGUUGUGUGAUUAAAAGUUCAGUUCUGCUCCUGAUGCUGUGUGUCGUCCAGUCAUUGGGAUUGAUGUUGGGAUAUUAUUGGAUUGUCUUGCCUGCUGGAAUUAUUGCCUUAUGGAUUUGUAAUACUUGUUCCUGAGCCUCACUGGGAUCUUGAUGGGAGAUAACCUACACUUCAUUUUGACAAACAUUACAAUGGUUUCAAGAUUUCCACCCCGUCAUAUGAGCAGAUGGUACUGCUCUUAAGUUCUAGCUGACUUCUAUCAUAUUCUAGCCUUGAUUUCCCGCACUCAGAUGUCAUAUUUUCACCAUUUAAUAUAUGCAAUAAUCAAUCCUGACUGCCUCCAGCAAUUAACUUACUUUCCAUGUAUUUAACAGCAGCCAGGGAGCUACCUUCUGCUAGGAAAAAGGUAAAAUGAGAGACUUUAACUCUUGUAAUUGUAAAUGGAGCAUAUCACUACGCCAGAAAAUAAAUAAGUAUAGUUUCA